GACGAACGCUGGCGGCGUGCCUAAUACAUGCAAGUUGAGCGCUGAAGGUUGGUACUUGUACCAACUGGAUGAGCAGCGAACGGGUGAGUAACGCGUGGGGAAUCUGCCUUUGAGCGGGGGACAACAUUUGGAAACGAAUGCUAAUACCGCAUAAAAACUUUAAACACAAGUUUUAAGUUUGAAAGAUGCAAUUGCAUCACUCAAAGAUGAUCCCGCGUUGUAUUAGCUAGUUGGUGAGGUAAAGGCUCACCAAGGCGAUGAUACAUAGCCGACCUGAGAGGGUGAUCGGCCACAUUGGGACUGAGACACGGCCCAAACUCCUACGGGAGGCAGCAGUAGGGAAUCUUCGGCAAUAGACGAAAGUCUGACAGAGCAACGCCGCGUGAGUGAAGAAGGUUUUCGGAUCGUAAAACUCUGUUGGUAGAGAAGAACGUUGGUGAGAGUGGAAAGCUCAUCAAGUGACGGUAACUACACAGAAAGGGACGGCUAACUACGUG
rnacentral:rRNA from 1 species